CUUAACUAGAAGCCUAUUAUUUCAUUUACUAAAAGAAACCAAACACCCAACCCAAUCUCCUUCAUUUCCCCUUCUCUCUCCCCAUGGUCAGUCUCUCUCCCCCUCCUUUGCUCUCUGCUCCACCGCACCACCUACGUCGUACUCUCUUCUCCUUCGCCGGCGCGGUGGUUGGAGUGUUCCUAGUGUCGUUGUCGGUCUGUCCUUGCUCCGCAUCCCUCUCAUCUCCUCCCUUCUCUGGUCCAAGCUGGGUGCCGCCGUCUCCGGUGGUGGCUGCAAAACCACCCUCAUCUUGGUUCUCUUCUCAAUUGGUAAAUUUACUUGAACUCUUUUGUCAAUUGUAUUUAAUUAAAAACCCCCCAAAUUGAAGAAACCCUAACUUUCUUCUUCAAUUUUCUCUCUCCUCUUGUCCGGUGCACCACCUUCUCCGUCGGAGUCAGGGGCUGCUGGAGCAGCUACUGCUGCUGCUACUGUUGUCGUUGCCGCUGCUGUUGUUCGAGUUGCUGCUGCUGCUAUUGUUGUUUUCGUUGUUGAUUAUUGAUUUGAUUUCCCUAUAUCUGAUCUCUAUUUUCCUUAAGGGUAUGAUCUCAAACUAUCCUCCCGAAUUUCUUUUCAUUUAGCCAAUUUAUUCAAUUCUAGUUUACCGAUUCAAUUGAAGUAGUGGUUGAAUUAAAUUGUGCUUUGGUGUGUUAUUAGUUAAUAAAGUAGGAAGUAAUCCUAACCAUCAAGAAGUAAUCUCAAAUUUUGUAAACAAGGAAUUUGAAAGUAUUAGUUUGUUUCGAAAAAGAUUUUGAAUAGCUAUGAAAUUAAGAUUUUCAAUUUGAUAAUUUAAUCAAUUAAUAUUCAUUAAGCAUAUAAAUUUAAUUGUUGAAUUUUAUGUUUUCAAUCACAAACUAUGAUUAGCGAAUCCAAUAUGGUUUUUCUUAAAAUAAAAUACGUGCUAUGUAGUUCUAAGUUAGGUUUUUCGAAAAUCAAUUGAGAUUUCAAAGAGAAUUCAUUAAGUCCUAGUUAUAAUAGAGUGGGUAGUUUAUUAAUUUAAGUCUUUUUUUUGUCGAGGGAUUGAUUGAGGAUGGUUUAAGAAGAUUUGAGUCAUGAAGUUAAGCGAACGAUGAUGAUCGAAUAUGUAGCUUUGGGAUUUAUGAAUGGUUAUUGAAGAGUUAAAGUGUUUUGCAGGUAGCAAAAGUUAGGUCUCAGUUCAGGUUCAAGGUUCGUAGAGUUCUCCGAUGGCCUUAUGUGUCCAAGGUUGGAGUAUGGAUUCGCCAAAUGUAAUUUAGUUCCUAGAGUUUGUUAAUGCGCUGUAUAAUUUCUUCUUAAAUCUUUUGAUUUAUAAUUUAUGGAUUACAUAUCUGUAUUGGAGUCGUAUCUAAGUUAAGUUUCUUUGGUUUAAAGUUAAGUGUGCUGAGAAGUAGCUUAUUAAGUGUGGGUUGUUGCAGUGACGCCUUGGUAAUGUUUUGGAAUAUGUUAUAUGUUGGAAUGGUGUAAUUGAAGCAGGUGAAAAAGGUUAUGACGUAAUAUCCUAAGCAAUGUUUUAGGUUGUCCAUAUUUAGGGGAAGUGCUACCGAUUUUUUUUUUUAAUAAUUAAUUAAGUUUAAGAGUUUUAAUUAGUGUUUUUGAGAUAGGCUAAACCCGUGAUUAAUCCUUGAAGUGGUUUGAAGAGUUAAAGUUUGUUUCGCAGGGUUUUUAGUUGUAAUUUUGUUGAGUUUGUUUAAAUUAAGACUAAGUAUGUUUAGGAAGCAGCUCGUUAAGGGCGGCCUGUUACAGGUGGUAUUAGAGCCAAAGUUUUUGGGUUUGGUUGUGAUCUUCAUAUCACGGCGUAUGAGUUGGGAACAGGCUUGUUGGAUCAGGAAAUAGUGGAAAUAAUUUUGGAAAUUGUUUUUAGGAGGAUAAGCUUAUAGUCUUGAGUUUGCAAUUGAGGAAUCGAGAAUUAAUUGAUUUGGAAUGGUUUGGUAGUGAAACAAUUGAUUUCGACAAUUUGGUUAUAGAGAUACGUACUAGCCAAAGUGGCUAUAGAAAUUAUCCGAGAAUAUAUAAGAUCAAAUUAUUGUGAUGUAAUUUUUGAUAUUUUGGAAGAUUGUGGGUUGGAACUUGAACAUUUAAGUUGGCAAUUGAUAAGUUCAGUGAGCUGGGAAAUGUAAAUUUAGAGAUGUGAAUGUUUUAAGAAUAUUAAGUUAUCCAUUUUUUUUUGUUUAAUAGCUAAAGUUAGAAGUUUAAGAUAAGAAAUUAAUUGAGCCUAUUGUAUAGUAGAGAUCAUAGACAUGAGGCAUCGAAGUAUUGCGAAUUGAUCUGGAUAUAUGAGGUUAUUUAAAGGUUAGUGUCGAGAAUAUGAGUUGGAAAGACAGGUUGGAUAUAAGAAUUCGUAUCAUGUUAUGGAGAUAUGAAUAAAUUUCUAGGAUUAAAGUGAUUAUGAGUAUAUAGGAUGAAUUUGCUAUGGUAUGGAUUGUGGAAUAUUGUGGAUUCAAAUGUUGGUGAUUAAGUUGAUAUUUGAGAAGUUUGGUCUAGAGGCUCAGAGUUGAGUUGAAAGUAUGUGUCUAGAAUUUUAAAUUCUAUUUGUUAGAUAGAAGUUAAAUGUUCAAUUUUAGAAGAUUGAGAUGUAAAAGCAUUGGAAUUUUGGUUUAGUUAGGUUCGAAUGAUUUAAAUUUUAUGGUUUGGGUAAAGCUUGGAUAUUAGAAAUAAAGAAGCGUUUGAACUUGAAAAAUUAAGUAUAUUUGUGGAAAUAUUUGCUGAUAAAUUUGGAUAUAUGAUAGAAACAAUUAAGGAUUAGAAUUAGAAUUAGAAUUUUAAUGUGAUCUAGAGAUUAGUAGUGUGUUGGAAUUAUGAGCCGAGAAUUAGAGUUUUGUGAUUUUUUACUUGUUUUAUUUGUUGUUAUUAGGAUUAUUGAAAAGAAAUAAAUUCGAGUCCAGAUAGGUCGAGAUAGGGAAUUAAAGUGUUGGAGAUAUAAAGAUGAGUAUUGGGAAAUAGUAUAAAUUGUUUGUGGUAUCCAUUCUUUAUGUGUAAGUAUGUUAUAGGCUUUGUAUUAUCAUUUAUUUACCUUUAAAACAAUGUUUCUAUUUUAAACUUUAAUAAACAAAAAUGUAUUAUAAAGCAUAUUUUAAACGUUUUAACCAAACAUUUUUCGAAUUUUUGUUUGCAAAUUGUUGAUUGAACUUCUUCAAAUAUGAUUCCACUUCUAUCCAAGCACUCCUAGUAGUUGAGAUUCUUCCACAUUUAAACCCUUAGUAUCCAUACAUGGCUCAUAAGAUUUGGCAUCAUAGCAUUAUUUCCUUUAGUAAUUUCUUUCCAUUCAAUUUGUUCCAAGUGCCAAUGAUUUUGUUCCUUGACAAAUUCUGACAUGAAGGUGUGAGAAUAUCUUCCCUUAUUUGAUUUCGAUGAAAUCUUCUAUCCAUUCUUAACCUCAAUCCCUUUGAGUAGUACUCCCAAGAGUAAACUUAUGCCCUUCACUUGCUCUUAAUCAAGUUUUUAUGCAAGACUAAUCCAGAACUUUUCCUCUAUGUCUAACCGAAAUUGUUCAGUCCUCUUGGAAUUGUCUCAAUAAUUUUCAAUUCUAGUUUAUUCGAUUUUCAAACAUUUCUCAUUAGAGAUUGAUAUUUUAUUUACUACUAUAUCAUGAUUUACAAAAGUAGUUUCAGAAGGAUAUAACUCUUCACAUUAUUUAAAGUUUUAUAUUGUCCAAUUUGUUUCGAGGACGAAACUUAUUUUAAGGGUGGUAUAGUGUAAUAGCCCUGAUUUUAAGCAGCUCUUAGUAUGAUUUUAAAAGUGAUUAUCGUCUUAAACGUGUUAUUAGAAUUUUUCUUAAACCUAAUUUGAGAUUAAGAUCGUUAUUAAGUUGGUGAAUGAAAUUGAAUUCUUAUUUAUUAGUCUUCGAAUUGAUUCUAGAGUUUUACCUUGAGAUAAAUGUCUAGAAGUUUCUUUGUUUAAAGAGUUUAGAUUUUUGUUAAAUUUUAAAUUAAUUUAUCUAAACUCAAUAAUUUAUCUUGGAAUUAGGAUUUUAAUUUUAAAUCAGAUCAGUCACAAACAAUGUAUUAUUUUACUUUUAUUUAUUUAGUUAAUUUAUUUGCCUUUGAUAUAUUCCCUAAACAAAAAAUUUACAAGUCCUUAAUUUAGUGUUUAAUAUUUUAUUUUGGAAUUUACAAAUCUGAUUUUUGUUGAUUAAAAUAGAUAACCAAAUCGUGUUACUUUUGUCAAAUUUCCAUUUACUCUAUAGCUUAAGUGGCAAGACUUUCUAGAGAAAUCUAAGCUUAACUAGAAGCCUAUUAUUUCAUUUACUAAAAGAAACCAAAAACCCAACCCAAUCUCCUUCAUUUCCCCUUCUCUCUCCUCACGGUCAGUCUCUCUCCUCCUCCUUUGCUCUCUGCUCCACCGCACCACCGACGCCGUACUCUCUUCUCCUCCGCCGGCGCGGUGGUUGGUGUGUGUUGCUAGUGUCGUUGUCGGUCUGUCCUUGCUCCGCAUCCCUCUCAUCUCCUCCCUUCUCUCGUCCAAGCUAGGUGCCGCUGCCGCCGGUGGUGGCUGCAAAACCACCCUCAUCUUGGUUCUCUUCUCAAUUGGUAAAUUUACUUGAACUCUUUUGUCAAUUGUAUUUAAUUAAAAACCCUCAAAUUGAAGAAACCCUAACUUUCUUCUUCAAUUUUCUCUCUCCUCUUGUCCGGUGCACCACCUUCUCCGUCGGAGUCAGGGGCUGCCGGAGCAGCUACCGCUGCUGCUACUGUUGUCGUUGCCGCUGCUGUUGUUCGAGUUGCUGUUGCUGCUAUUGUUGUUUUCGUUGUUGAUUAUUGAUUUGAUUUUCCUAUAUCUGAUCUCUAUUUUCCUUAAGGGUAUGAUCUCAAACUAUCCUCCCGAAUUUCUUUUCAUUUAGCAAAUUUAUUCAAUUCUAGUUUACCGAUUCAAUUGAAGUAGUGGUUGAAUUAAAUUUUGCUUUGGUGUGUUAUUAGUUAAUAAAGUAGGAAGUAAUCCUAACCAUCAAGAAGUAAUCUCAAAUUUUGUAAACAGGGAAUUUGAAAGUAUUAGUUUGUUUCGAAAAAGUUUUUGAAUAGCUAUGAAAUUAAGAUUUUCAAUUUGAUAAUUUAAUCAAUUAAUAUUCAUUAAGCAUAUAAAUUUAAUUGUUGAAUUUUAUGUUUUCAAUCACAAACUAUGAUUAUCGAAUCCAAUAUGGUUUUUCUUAAAAUAAAAUACGUGCUAUGUAGUUCAAGUUAGGUUUUUCGAAAAUCAAUUGAGAUUUCAAAGAGAAUUCAUUAAGUCCUAGUUAUAAUAGAGUGGGUAGUUUAUUAAUUUAAGUCUUUUUUUUUUGUCGAGGGAUUGAUGGAGAAUGGUUUAAGAAGAUUUGAGUCAUGAAGUUAAGCGAACGAUGAUGAUCGAAUAUGUAGCUUUGGGAUUUAUGAAUGGUUAUUGAAGAAUUAAAGUGUUUUCCAGGUAGCAAGAGUUAGGUCUCAGUUCAGGUUCAAGGUUCGUAGAGUUCUCCGAUGGCCUUAUGUGUCCAAGGUUGGAGUAUGGAUUCGCCAAAUGUAAUUUAGUUCCUAGAGUUUGUUAAUGCGCUGUAUAAUUUCUUCUUAAAGCUUUUGGUUUGUAAUUUAUGGAUUACAUAUCUGUAUUGGAGUCGUAGCUAAGUUAAGUUUCUUUGGUUUAAAGUUAAGUGUGCUGAGAAGUAGCUUAUUAAGUGUGGGUUGUUGCAGUGACGCCUUGGUAAUGUUUUGGAAUAUGUUAUAUGUUGGAAUGAUGUAAUUGAAGGAGGUGAAAAAGGUUAUGACGUAAUAUCCUAAGCAAUGUUUUAGGUUGUCCAUAUUUAGGGGAA